UACGAAGGGGGGCUAGCGUUGCUCGGAAUCACUGGGCGUAAAGCGCACGUAGGCGGCUUUUUAAGUCAGGGGUGAAAUCCUGGAGCUCAACUCCAGAACUGCCUUUGAUACUGGGAGCUCGAGUCCGGGAGAGGUGAGUGGAACUCCGAGUGUAGAGGUGAAAUUCGUAGAUAUUCGGAAGAACACCAGUGGCGAAGGCGGCUCACUGGCCCGGUACUGACGCUGAGGUGCGAAAGCGUGGGGAGCAAACAGG
rnacentral:rRNA from 1 species